GCAAGAAAACAUUGGAAAGCUGCAGCAUUGCCUUUCCCCCUCCGGCCUUUGGACAUUUUAAACAGGCAGCAGAUGCCAAAGGAUGGGGAAGUUGCCAAAGAGUUGAAAGGGCCCCCUUGUUAGAGAGCAGAGUGGCAAGGGAGGGGGUUUUCCGAGAGCUAUUUAAACAUUAACCAGCACAACAAUUGCCCUGUGUUGCCAUUUCCCAUUGCCACCCUGGUCUUUCACCUCUGCGUGGGUGGAUCUGCGGAGUCCUGAGCUGCCUCCAGCCCUGGAGACACGGCCUGUCCACUGCUGGCACGGUGCUGCGCUGGUGACAGGAGCCUCUGCGCCAUCGCCUCUGCCUGCAGGACUUCAGUACCGUCCCUGCAACUGCAGAGGAGCCCACAGAAGCCAAAUACAGACUUGAAAGCAAUGUCAGGUGGGAUCAGGAGCUUUGUGUUUGCUCAUCUCCGCAGACACCAACUUUUGGGAAUGCUCCAGCACCAAGGGAUCACAACAAGCUUUGUAAGCUGACAGUAGUCCGCUCCAGCUGCAAAACUGGGGUAUCAUGAGGCCAAAGUAAUAAAAAAAUAAUAAUAAAUAACAAUAAUAAUACUACUAUAAUCCGUGGGUUGAUGAAGAGCUGGGUGAGAUGGAUCUCUGCCUCCCAUUCCCGUGUCUGCCAAGCAGGCUGUCAUCCCUCUUCCCCAGCACCCCACAGCCAUGGGCUUAGCAGCUCUUCUCACAAACUCACCUCAGGCUGCAGCAUUUUUGUGAGCCAUAAGAUGCCAUUAGUCAAGGCUGUCAGGGAGGGAGGAUAAGAGGGUCGUUAGGCACAUGGGAUUAUUUCUAGUCACCUGUUGGCUGGCUACAGCUCAGUGCAAACACCUGGGGGAUUUAUAGGCUUCAUCACUCACCUUCCACCAGUAUUUUAAUGUAGUUGCUGGAAAGGUGCUCUUUUUUGAAAGCUUUCCUCCCUUAAAUCUCACUCAAAUAUCUGAGGGAAGCAAACACAAGCUAAGCUGAAAUAAACAGAAUGGUUUAUUAGAGCAAAUAUUCCCAGGUUGGGCUCUCCAUAUUCCCUAGUCAUCAUGAACUACCCUCAAUACGAACAUGCUUGCACUGAAAUGUCUCAAUUUCACUCUACUAGGCAAGCUACUGGCUUUUUUUGCAUGUUAUGUGUCUAAAGUACCUGGUGCCCUGCAGACCUGACUCACAGCAGCGGCCUUUUACUGCUCAGACAAAAAGUACAUGUGAUUGGGGGUAAUUCACGUUGAAGAAGCUCUGGAAUGGAGCUGACUGAA